rnacentral:rRNA from 1 species
GUGGAGUAUGUGGCUUAAUUCGAUGCAACGCGAAGAACCUUACCUAGGCUUGACAUGCUUGUCGUACUCUCCCGAAAAGGAGAGGUCACUUCGGGUGGACAAUGCACAGGUGCUGCAUGGCCGUCGUCAGCUCGUGUCGUGAGAUGUUUGGUUAAGUCCAGCAACGAGCGCAACCCCUGUGAACUGUUGCCAGCGCGUAAAGGCGGGGACUCUGUUCAGACUGCCCAGAUCAACUGGGAGGAAGGUGGGGACGACGUCAGGUCAGUAUGGCCCUUACGCCUAGGGCUGCACACGUACUACAAUGCCCAGCACAAUGAGAACCGAGACCGCAAGGUGGAGGAAAUCUGCAAAACUGGGCCCAGUUCGGAUUGGAGGCUGCAACUCGCCUCCAUGAAGUCGGAAUCGCUAGUAAUGCCGUAUCAGCUACGACGGCGUGAAUACGUUCCCGGGUCUUGUACACACCGCCCGUCACAUCAUGGAAGCCGGUCGCACCCGAAGUAUAUGCGCUAACUUUAUUGAAGCAGUAUCCUAAGGUGAGGCUGGUAACUGGGAUG